UACGUAGGGGGCAAGCGUUGUCCGGAAUCAUUGGGCGUAAAGCGCGUGUAGGCGGCCCGGUAAGUCCGCUGUGAAAGCCCGGGGCUCAACCCCGGGAGGCGGAUGGAUACUGCUUGGCUCGAGUCCGGAAGAGGCGAGUGGAAUUCCCGGUGUAGCGGUGAAAUGCGCAGAUAUCGGGAGGAACACCAAUGGCGAAGGCAGCUCACUGGGACGGUAUUGACGCUGAGACGCGAAAGCGUGGGGAGCAAACAGGG
rnacentral:rRNA from 1 species